GAUGAACGCUGGCGGCGUGCUUAACACAUGCAAGUCGAACGAUGAAGCCCAGCUUGCUGGGUGGAUUAGUGGCGAACGGGUGAGCAACACGUGAGUAACCUGCCCUUGACUCUGGGAUAAGCCUGGGAAACUGGGUCUAAUACUGGACAUGACUUCUCAUCGCAUGGUGGGGGGUGGAAAGAUUUAUUGGUCUUGGAUGGACUCGCGGCCUAUCAGCUUGUUGGUGAGGUAAUGGCUCACCAAGGCGACGACGGGUAGCCGGCCUGAGAGGGUGACCGGCCACACUGGGACUGAGACACGGCCCAGACUCCUACGGGAGGCAGCAGUGGGGAAUAUUGCACAAUGGGCGCAAGCCUGGUGCAGCGACGCCGCGUGAGGGAUGACGGCCUUCGGGUUGUAAACCUCUUUCAGUAGGGAAGAAGCGAGAGUGACGGUACCUGCAGAGGAAGCGCCGGCUAACUACGUG
rnacentral:rRNA from 1 species